CACGUAGGGGGCGAGCGUUGUCCGGAUUUAUUGGGCGUAAAGAGCGUGUAGGCGGCCAGGUAGGUCCGUUGUGAAAACUGGAGGCUUAACCUCCAGCUGUCGAUGGAAACCAUCUGGCUAGAGUCCGGAAGAGGAGAGUGGAAUUCCUGGUGUAGCGGUGAAAUGCGCAGAUAUCAGGAAGAACACCCGUGGCGAAGGCGGCUCUCUGGGACGGUACUGACGCUGAGACGCGAAAGCGUGGGGAGCGAACAGG
rnacentral:rRNA from 1 species